AACGAACGCUGGCGGCAUGCCUAACACAUGCAAGUCGAACGAGACCUUCGGGUCUAGUGGCGCACGGGUGCGUAACGCGUGGGAACCUGCCCUUAGGUUCGGAAUAACUCCCCGAAAGGGGUGCUAAUACCGGAUAAUGUCUUCGGACCAAAGAUUUAUCGCCUUUGGAUGGGCCCGCGUUGGAUUAGCUAGUUGGUAGGGUAAAAGCCUACCAAGGCGACGAUCCAUAGCUGGUCUGAGAGGAUGAUCAGCCACACUGGGACUGAGACACGGCCCAGACUCCUACGCGAGGCAGCAGUGGGGAAUAUUGGACAAUGGGCGAAAGCCUGAUCCAGCAAUGACGCGUGAGUGAUGAAGGCCUUAGGGUUGUAAAGCUCUUUUACCCGGGAUGAUAAUGACAGUACCGGGAGAAUAAGCUCCGGCUAACUCCGUG
rnacentral:rRNA from 1 species